rnacentral:lncRNA from 1 species
GCAAUAACCAGAGGAGUAAGAGAAGCCCCGGGACCGGUGAAAGGCGUCUUCUCGGUUAUAGGUGAAUCCAAUAAGUGGGAAUAAGCCUCAAGAGUAGGGACCAACUGGAAAUCCGGGAAAGUGAAGCAGCGGAAACUCGGGUCAUAGAAUUGCACUAGAGUGUGCACGAGCUUCUCUUCAACAUUAGUCCGGAGAAUAGUAAGCAAACCACCAUACCGGAGUCGGAAACCCGUUUGAUUCUUCACCUUGAGUGCCAACUCUCUCAAACUAACCAAAUCAACCUCCUUGAACUUGUAGGAUUUAGUCUUCUUCAUACCUGUAAUGUUUACAAAGUUUUUAAUUUGUACAAUCCUUCGAU